UUAAGCGACUAAGCGUACACGGUGGAUGCCCUGGCAGUCAGAGGCGAUGAAGGACGUGCUAAUCUGCGAAAAGCGCCGGCGAGGUGAUAUGAACCUUUGACCCGGCGAUGUCCGAAUGGGGAAACCCAGUGUGUUCCGACACACUAUCGUUAACUGAAUACAUAGGUUAACGAGGCGAACCGGGGGAACUGAAACAUCUAAGUACCCCGAGGAAAAGAAAUCAACCGAGAUUCCCCCAGUAGCGGCGAGCGAACGGGGAGCAGCCCAGAGUCUGAAUCAGCUUGUGUGUUAGUGGAAGCGUCUGGAAAGUCGCACGGUACAGGGUGAAAGUCCCGUACACGAAAGCACACAGGCUGUGAACUCGAAGAGUAGGGCGGGACACGUGGUAUCCUGUCUGAAUAUGGGGGGACCAUCCUCCAAGGCUAAAUACUCCUGACUGACCGAUAGUGAACCAGUACCGUGAGGGAAAGGCGAAAAGAACCCCGGCGAGGGGAGUGAAAAAGAACCUGAAACCGUGUACGUACAAGCAGUGGGAGCCUCUUUUAUGGGGUGACUGCGUACCUUUUGUAUAAUGGGUCAGCGACUUAUAUUCUGUAGCAAGGUUAACCGUAUAGGGGAGCCGAAGGGAAACCGAGUCUUAACUGGGCGUUAAGUUGCAGGGUAUAGACCCGAAACCCGGUGAUCUAGCCAUGGGCAGGUUGAAGGUUGGGUAACACUAACUGGAGGACCGAACCGACUAAUGUUGAAAAAUUAGCGGAUGACUUGUGGCUGGGGGUGAAAGGCCAAUCAAACCGGGAGAUAGCUGGUUCUCCCCGAAAGCUAUUUAGGUAGCGCCUCGUGAACUCAUCUUCGGGGGUAGAGCACUGUUUCGGCUAGGGGGCCAUCCCGGCUUACCAACCCGAUGCAAACUACGAAUACCGAAGAAUGUUAUCACGGGAGACACACGGCGGGUGCUAACGUCCGUCGUGAAGAGGGAAACAACCCAGACCGCCAGCUAAGGUCCCAAAGUCAUGGUUAAGUGGGAAACGAUGUGGGAAGGCACAGACAGCCAGGAUGUUGGCUUAGAAGCAGCCAUCAUUUAAAGAAAGCGUAAUAGCUCACUGGUCGAGUCGGCCUGCGCGGAAGAUGUAACGGGGCUAAACCAUGCACCGAAGCUGCGGCAGCGACGCUUAUGCGUUGUUGGGUAGGGGAGCGUUCUGUAAGCCGUUGAAGGUGUCCUGUGAGGGGUGCUGGAGGUAUCAGAAGUGCGAAUGCUGACAUAAGUAACGAUAAAGCGGGUGAAAAGCCCGCUCGCCGGAAGACCAAGGGUUCCUGUCCAACGUUAAUCGGGGCAGGGUGAGUCGACCCCUAAGGCGAGGCCGAAAGGCGUAGUCGAUGGGAAACAGGUUAAUAUUCCUGUACUUGGUGUUACUGCGAAGGGGGGACGGAGAAGGCUAUGUUAGCCGGGCGACGGUUGUCCCGGUUUAAGCAUGUAGGCGGAGGUUCCAGGUAAAUCCGGUUCCUUGUUAACGCUGAGGUGUGAUGACGAGGCACUACGGUGCUGAAGUAACAAAUGCCCUGCUUCCAGGAAAAGCCUCUAAGCAUCAGGUAACAUCAAAUCGUACCCCAAACCGACACAGGUGGUCAGGUAGAGAAUACCAAGGCGCUUGAGAGAACUCGGGUGAAGGAACUAGGCAAAAUGGUGCCGUAACUUCGGGAGAAGGCACGCUGAUAUGUAGGUGAAGUCCCUGCGGAUGGAGCUGAAAUCAGUCGAAGAUACCAGCUGGCUGCAACUGUUUAUUAAAAACACAGCACUGUGCAAACACGAAAGUGGACGUAUACGGUGUGACGCCUGCCCGGUGCCGGAAGGUUAAUUGAUGGGGUUAGCGGCAACGCGAAGCUCUUGAUCGAAGCCCCGGUAAACGGCGGCCGUAACUAUAACGGUCCUAAGGUAGCGAAAUUCCUUGUCGGGUAAGUUCCGACCUGCACGAAUGGCGUAAUGAUGGCCAGGCUGUCUCCACCCGAGACUCAGUGAAAUUGAACUCGCUGUGAAGAUGCAGUGUACCCGCGGCAAGACGGAAAGACCCCGUGAACCUUUACUAUAGCUUGACACUGAACACUGGUCCUUGAUGUGUAGGAUAGGUGGGAGGCUUUGAAGCGUGGACGCCAGUCUGCGUGGAGCCAACCUUGAAAUACCACCCUUUAAUGGCUGGUGUUCUAACGUAGACCCGUGAUCCGGGUUGCGGACAGUGUCUGGUGGGUAGUUUGACUGGGGCGGUCUCCUCCCAAAGAGUAACGGAGGAGCACGAAGGUUAGCUAAUCCUGGUCGGACAUCAGGAGGUUAGUGCAAUGGCAUAAGCUAGCUUGACUGCGAGAGUGACGGCUCGAGCAGGUGCGAAAGCAGGUCAUAGUGAUCCGGUGGUUCUGAAUGGAAGGGCCAUCGCUCAACGGAUAAAAGGUACUCCGGGGAUAACAGGCUGAUACCGCCCAAGAGUUCAUAUCGACGGCGGUGUUUGGCACCUCGAUGUCGGCUCAUCACAUCCUGGGGCUGAAGUAGGUCCCAAGGGUAUGGCUGUUCGCCAUUUAAAGUGGUACGCGAGCUGGGUUUAGAACGUCGUGAGACAGUUCGGUCCCUAUCUGCCGUGGGCGCUGGAGAAUUGAGGGGGGCUGCUCCUAGUACGAGAGGACCGGAGUGGACGCAUCACUGGUGUUCGGGUUGUCAUGCCAAUGGCACUGCCCGGUAGCUAAAUGCGGAAGAGAUAAGUGCUGAAAGCAUCUAAGCACGAAACUUGCCCCGAGAUGAGUUCUCCCUGAGACUUUAAGUCUCCUGAAGGAACGUUGAAGACUACGACGUUGAUAGGUCGGGUGUGUAAGCGCAGCGAUGCGUUGAGCUAACCGAUACUAAUGAACCGUGAGGCUUAACCUU
rnacentral:rRNA from 1 species